UACCCCUAGCAAAUCUCAAAAAACCGUCUCAGUUCGGAUUGGGCUCUGCAACUCGAGCCCAUGAAGUUGGAAUCGCUAGUAAUCGUGGAUCAGCACGCCACGGUGAAUACGUUCCCGGGCCUUGUACACACCGCCCGUCACACCAUGGGAGUUGGUUUUACCUGAAGGCGGUGCGCUAACCCGCAAGGGAGGCAGCCGACCACGGUAGGGUCAGCGACUGGGGUGAAG
rnacentral:rRNA from 1 species